rnacentral:rRNA from 1 species
GGAUGAACGCUAGCUACAGGCUUAACACAUGCAAGUCGAGGGGUCUCGCGGAAGCUUGCUUCAAGAGACGACCGGCGCACGGGUGAGUAACGCGUAUCCAACCUGCCCUUCAUAUUGGGAUAGCCUUCCGAAAGGAAGAUUAAUACCCGAAUAACCAUAGAGUGGUUGCCUGAUUUCUCUAUGAAAGCUCCGGCGAUGAAGGAUGGGGAUGCGUUCCAUUAGGUAGUAGGCGGGGUAACGGCCCACCUAGCCGACGAUGGAUAGGGGUUCUGAGAGGAAGGUCCCCCACACUGGAACUGAGACACGGUCCAGACUCCUACGGGAGGCAGCAGUGAGGAAUAUUGGUCAAUGGGCGCAAGCCUGAACCAGCCAAGUAGCGUGAAGGAAGACUGCCCUAUGGGUUGUAAACUUCUUUUAUACGGGAACAAACCCUGGUACGUGUACCAGAUUGCGUGUACCGUAUGAAUAAGCAUCGGCUAACUCCGUG